rnacentral:rRNA from 1 species
CGAGCGGAUGAGAGGAGCUUGCUCCUUAAUUCAGCGGCGGACGGGUGAGUAAUGCCUAGGAAUCUGCCUGGUAGUGGGGGACAACGUUUCGAAAGGAACGCUAAUACCGCAUACGUCCUACGGGAGAAAGCAGGGGACCYUCGGGCCUUGCGCUAUCAGAUGAGCCUAGGUCGGAUUAGCUAGUUGGUGAGGUAAUGGCUCACCAAGGCGACGAUCCGUAACUGGUCUGAGAGGAUGAUCAGUCACACUGGAACUGAGACACGGUCCAGACUCCUACGGGAGGCAGCAGUGGGGAAUAUUGGACAAUGGGCGAAAGCCUGAUCCAGCCAUGCCGCGUGUGUGAAGAAGGUCUUCGGAUUGUAAAGCACUUUAAGUUGGGAGGAAGGGCAGUAAAUUAAUACUUUGCUGUUUUGACGUUACCGACAGAAUAAGCACCGGCUAACUCUGUGCCAGCAGCCGCGGUAAUACAGAGGGUGCAAGCGUUAAUCGGAAUUACUGGGCGUAAAGCGCGCGUAGGUGGUUCGUUAAGUUGGAUGUGAAAUCCCCGGGCUCAACCUGGGAACUGCAUUCAAAACUGUCGAGCUAGAGUAUGGUAGAGGGUGGUGGAAUUUCCUGUGUAGCGGUGAAAUGCGUAGAUAUAGGAAGGAA